rnacentral:rRNA from 1 species
UACGGGGGGGGCAAGCGUUGUUCGGAAUUACUGGGCGUAAAGGGCUCGUAGGUGGUCAACUAAGUCGGACGUGAAAUCCCUCGGCUUAACCGAGGAACUGCGUCCGAUACUGGAUGACUUGAGUUCGGGAGAGGGAUGCGGAAUUCCAGGUGUAGCGGUGAAAUGCGUAGAUAUCUGGAGGAACACCGGUGGCGAAGGCGGCAUCCUGGACCGACACUGACGCUGAGGCGCGAAAGCGUGGGGAGCGAACAGG